GUCAACUCAAAAGUGCAUGAGUAGUUGCCCAACAGUCACCUUUGCUCGCUAUAUGUUUAUUAAGUGAUGAUAUUGAUUUCAUUCACAGGCUAUGUACAAAACCUGCUGGAUUUAUUGUUCAGCAGUGUGGUGGGAACCCCCCUACCAUACCUGGAGCUGUUACAGAAGGCUGAGGCAGUGGCCAGACACCAGAGUAAUGGAGGACACUUCAAUCAGUGUUCAGCCCUGCCCAGCUCACUCUCUUCGCCUUGCACUCGCCCCAGAAAAGAGAGG
rnacentral:lncRNA from 1 species